UGUAUAAUAAGCCAAAAAAAUAAAAACCGCUUUCAAAUCCCUCUUUGUUAUUAUGUAAUUGGCCAGAGAUAUGAUGUCGUCAAUGAUUGUUCUUAGCCAUCAAGAUGUACUAUAUUUGUUCAACAUGGCAUCAAUGAUACUUUGGAACCUCCCUUAACACACACCUCCUUAAAACCUUUGACCUAUGCGAAUCUUAAAGCAUCACGAAGAGCCCGUGCUUCAACAACAAAACUUGUACUUUCUCCAAUGUUGAUGCAUAAAACCGGAGGUCUUGGAACAACGUAAAUCCGACCGUGAAUCUGCAUGAAAUGUAAAUAACACAAGAUGUAUCGUGGUUCAGCCCAAGGUUGGGGCUACGUCCAUACUGAUUAUUGCAUUUUUGAGGGAGAGAGAGCUCUGAAUGAGAGGGAGAGCUUUGAGGGGAUGAGAGGGCUUAAGAAAGGGCUUCCCCUAAUUGUGAGGGUGAUGAGUCUUUUUAUAGAAUAAGGGCUCCUCACUUAUUACAUAUUUGCCCCUUCCUUUAUUACAUAAUUACAUUUAAGUCCAUUGAGUAUUUGUACGAUAUCUAAUUACGGAGGCCCUAAAUAUGGUAUAAACAGUAGUCCCCUAAGUCUUCAGUCAAGAGAGUAUUUUGGCUGGAGGCUUGAAAUUCAGUCCAUGUGUGGGCCGAAGUAACUAGAUGUUGUCUUGAACUGAUACUCGAUAUGAGGCGGUCCUCAAUAUAAAAUGAUGCUCAACUAGAAGUAGCAUAUGCUGCAAGAUUGCUCGGCUCGUGGUUUAUGUUGCCUUGGUUGGCUCGGCUUGUGGUGUUGAAGGUGAGGGAGUCCCUUUUAUAGAAUAAGGUUUCGCUCCUUAAUACAUGAAUGAUGAGCUAGAUUCCCCCAAGUAUUUUUCAUGAGUGCUCUCUAAUGAAAGUGAGGGAGUUCCUUUUAUAAAAUAAGGGCUCGCUCCUCAAUACAUAAGUGAUGGGCUAAGUCCCCCAAGUAUUUUUUAUGAGGCCCAGUUGAGGCCCAAUAUAUGGUACAUAAUGUAGUCCCCCAAGUCUUCGGUCAAUAGAGUCUGUUGGCUGGAAACUUCAAAUUAAAUCCGUGUAUGGGCCGAAGUGAUGGUUGUUCGAAUGUGAUAUUUGUAUAUCUUGCACUGAAGCUUUAUAAGUGAAGCUUUGCAAGUGAAGCUUUGAAGUUGGAGCUCUGUAAAUGAAGCUUUUGAAGCUAGAGCUUUUUGUAAAUGAAGCUUUUGAAGCUAGAGCUCUGUAAAUGAAACUUUUGAAGCUAGAGCUUUUGUAAAUGAAGCUUUUGAAGCUGGAGCUCUGUAAAUGAAGCUUUUGAAGGUGAUUGACAUGAGUGAUGCUCAUGAAUGUUUAUGUUGAUUGACAUGAAUGAUGCUCAUGGAUGUUGACAUGAGUGGUGCUCAUGAAUGUUGACAUGAGUGAUGCUCAUGAAUGUUUAUGUAUGAUUGAAUGAGUGAUGAUCAUGAAUGUUUAUGUAUGAUUGACAUGAGUAAUGCUCAUGUAUGAUUUUGGAGUACUGGACGUACUUUUGAUCACCUGGUUGGUGGUAAUAGCGGCAAGUUGCCGAAUAGUUUUGGAGUACUAGGUGUACUUUUGAUCACCUAGUUGGUGGUAAUAACGGCAGAUUGCCGAAUACUUGUGAAGUAUUGGGCGUACUUUUGAUCACCUGGUUGGUGGUAAUAGCGGUAGGUUGCCGAAUACUUGUGGAGUACUGGGCGUACUUUUGAUCACCUGGUUGGAGCUAUUUUGGGCUUAUGGGUCUUCGCCCUCUACACAACAUUCCAGCCCAUUUAUUUUGGGCUUUGCCGUUUUUUUUUAUUACCCUCUGAUGGGGUUUAUACAGAUGUUCUGAAAGAUAAGAAAAAUAAAUCACAUCAUACAUCUGCCAAGAAAAGUAAAUCACACCAUUUUGGUGGGGUGUUUAUUCCUUGCUUUUGCUUUCUCUUUUCUUUUCUGCUUUUGUUUUUUGCUUUUGUUUUUUCUUCUGCUUUUCUUUCUGUUUUCUGCCUUGGAUUUGUGGCUUGAUGACAUGAUUAAAGGCAACAAGGGUAAUCGUGACAGAAAUAAAAAACAUAGUUGUAGGGGUUCUCGUUACCUCGGUGGAGCACGUGGCUCCUUUAAUGCUGAAGGGAUGGCCUGGUUGCUUUCGACCUGGUUGCUUUUCUUUUGCUCUUGCUUUCCUCAGAAAUCAGAAAAUGAUUUCACAUGCAUGAAACCACGAGCACAUGGCUUGCCUUUCCUUAUCUGUUGGAUUUCUUCCUUUUUUUCUCUGACUCUCCCUCUCUUCUAAGCCGCCGUAUCAUGACCUCUAUUGACAAUAAAAGAUAAACUCCUUUGACGAUAAGAAGGAUGGAUAGCAAUGAGGAGGACAAUAUUAAACCAUGAUUAAGAACCUUCAUCUUCUUUAUCCCAAAUCUGCAAAGGCUUGCUCCCGAGGCUGUAUAGAAUGGGCAGAAAACCGGAUUGAAACGUGUUCUUGAACACUCUUACUUCGAUCUAAGUCGAACCGGAAAAGAGUACUUCAUUCAACACCGGCAGGAAUUGCAGAACUUUCCGAUCCUCUCAAAAGCCCCAAUGUUCGCUCAUACACCGACUGCAAAUUUGCAAUUCCCGUCUAAUCCAACCUGGUCCUCGGCUCAGUUUGAACCAACACAGACCGACCCACAUCCAUAGUGUUAACCCCAUCGGAAACCAAUAUAGGAGCAGGGCUCCCCAACCCUGCAAUUGCAUCUCUAAUAAUCUUCAUUGGCGUCAAGAAAUUAAAUGGCACAGCUCCCUUAGCCAACUGAGCCUUCAUUUUCGAAACAUUGUCCUUCACCAGGGGUUAGACAGAGAAGAGGAAGAGUAAUGGCUCGAGUGAAUUGGAUAACAACGACGCAGUGGGUUGCUCAAGGUCACCAACAAACUGGACAAAGGUCUGAGUGAGGGCACCCAAAGAGUACUGACCACCGCCACCUUCCACCUCAGCAAGUCCGAUCUCGACCGCCUCGCCUCUAAGUCCAUCUUCGCAUCCAGGCUUUGCCCAAAAUCUCCAUAUACACUGGCUACAGGGGCACUACCUGCGACAUCAACUCUGGGAGGCUUUUGGGCCGGGUCUCGAUUCUGUUGGAUUUGGUGGGAACAGAGUCCAAGCCCAGCAUUUUCCACAACGGAUGGGUCUCCGUGGGGAAAGGCCUCAACAAGGAUGGGUCCACGGAUUUUGGAAGAGAGAGAAAGACGCCAGGCAAUUUCCGAUCUCUCGGAUACUUUCGCGGAUGGAUUUCGUUCGUUGAUGCGAAUAUUGAUCAAAUGGUGCUGAUCAAAUACUUGCUUUGAUCAAACUGCAACUGAUUAAAUGCUUGCUUUGAUCAAACGGUAGUUGAUUAAAUGGUUGCGAAUCAAUAGUGUUGAUCAAAUGCUUCAUUUGAUCAAAUGACAGCUGAUUAAGCUUGGAAGAUAUUUCCUUGGGGCUCAACCCUCAUCAGUUGACACGUGUUGGGAAUCAUGGUACAACCACAAACCUCGGAGAGCAUGCGGGUAAUAAGUCACUCAAGUUCCCUUAGUUAUUAAGAGAGUGGUGGUGUUGCAGCUUCUUCUCGUCUAUUAUCUCUGUGGCCAUGCCUCUGUAUGGGUUUUGCAGAUCUACCGUGGACAGUGGUGAGGUUUCACGAUGGUGAGAUGAAAAAAUGAAAGGGAACCGACAUAGCUUUUCGUGUCGUUUCCCACAGAUGACGCCAAAUGUUGAUGCACAAAACUGGAGGUCUUGGAACAAUGUAAAUCCAACCGUGAAUCUGCAUGAAAUGUAAAUAACACAAGAUGUAUCGUGGUUCACCCCAAGGUUGGGGCUAUGUCCACACUGAUUAUUGUAUUUAUGAGGGAGAGAGAGCUCUGAAUAAGAGGGAGAGCUUUGAGGGGAUGAGAGGGCUUAAGAAAUGGCCUCCCCUAAUUGUGAGGGUGAGGAGUCCUUUUAUAGAAUAAGGGCUCCUCACUUAUUACAUAUUUGCCCCUUCCUCUA
rnacentral:lncRNA from 1 species